AGAGUUUGAUCCUGGCUCAGGAUGAACGCUAGCGGCAGGCUUAAUACAUGCAAGUCGAGGGGCAGCAGGGGUGUAGCAAUACACUUGCUGGCGACCGGCAAACGGGUGCGGAACACGUACGCAAUCUACCCAUAACUGGGGCAUAGCCCUCCGAAAGGAGGAUUAAUACCUCGUAAUCUUUGAAGGUGGCAUCACUUUCUUAGUAUAGCUCCGGCGGUUAUGGAUGAGCGUGCGGCUGAUUAGGUAGUUGGCGGGGUAACGGCCCACCAAGCCUGCGAUCAGUAACUGGUGUGAGAGCACGACCAGUCACACGGGCACUGAGACACGGGCCCGACUCCUACGGGAGGCAGCAGUAAGGAAUAUUGGUCAAUGGAGGCAACUCUAAACCAGCCAUGCCGCGUGAAGGAUGAAGGUCCUCUGGAUUGUAAACUUCUUUUACAGGGGAAGAAACCACUUUUUUCCAAGAGUGUUGACGGUACCCUGGGAAUAAGCACCGGCUAACUCCGUGCCAGCAGCCGCGGUAAUACGGAGGGUGCAAGCGUUAUCCGGAUUCACUGGGUUUAAAGGGUGCGUAGGAGGGCAGGGAAGUCCGUGGUGAAAUCCUAGAGCUUAACUCUAGAACUGCCGUGGAUACUCUCUGUCUUGAAUCCCGUGGAGAUGAGCGGAAUAUGUCAUGUAGCGGUGAAAUGCUUAGAUAUGACAUAGAACACCAAUUGCGAAGGCAGCUCGUUACACGAAGAUUGACUCUGAGGCACGAAA
rnacentral:rRNA from 1 species